rnacentral:rRNA from 1 species
UAGGCGGGCUGGAACCUCUCGGGGUUACAGCCUUGCUGAAUUAUUCACCCUUGUCUUUUGCGUACUUCUUGUUUCCUUGGUGGGUUCGCCCACCACUAGGACAAACAUAAACCUUUUGUAAUUGCAAUCAGCGUCAGUAACAAAUUAAUAAUUACAACUUUCAACAACGGAUCUCUUGGUUCUGGCAUCGAUGAAGAACGCAGCGAAAUGCGAUAAGUAGUGUGAAUUGCAGAAUUCAGUGAAUCAUCGAAUCUUUGAACGCACAUUGCGCCCUUUGGUAUUCCAAAGGGCAUGCCUGUUCGAGCGUCAUUUGUACCCUCAAGCUUUGCUUGGUGUUGGGCGUCUUGUCUCUAGCUUUGCUGGAGACUCGCCUUAAAGUAAUUGGCAGCCGGCCUACUGGUUUCGGAGCGCAGCACAAGUCGCACUCUCUAUCAGCAAAGGUCUAGCAUCCAUUAAGCCUUUUUUUUCAACUUUUGACCUCGGAUCAGGUAGGGAUACCCGCUGAACUUAAGCAUAUCUAA